rnacentral:rRNA from 1 species
GACGAACGCUGGCGGCGUGCCUAAUACAUGCAAGUAGAACGCACAGUUUAUACCGUAGCUUGCUACACCAUAGACUGUGAGUUGCGAUCGGGUGAGUAACGCGUAGGUAACCUGCCUGGUAGCGGGGGAUAACUAUUGGAAACGAUAGCUAAUACCGCAUAAUAUUAAUUAUUGCAUGAUAAUUAAUUGAAAGGUGCAAUUGCACCACUACCAGAUGGACCUGCGUUGUAUUAGCUAGUAGGUGAGGUAACGGCUCACCUAGGCGACGAUACAUAGCCGACCUGAGAGGGUGAUCGGCCACACUGGGACUGAGACACGGCCCAGACUCCUACGGGAGGCAGCAGUAGGGAAUCUUCGGCAAUGGACGAAAGUCUGACCGAGCAACGCCGCGUGAGUGAAGAAGGUUUUCGGAUCGUAAAGCUCUGUUGUAAGAGAAGAACGGGUGUGAGAGUGGAAAGUUCACACUGUGACGGUAUCUUACCAGAAAGGGACGGCUAACUACGUG